UCAUGAAACUCAAAAGAGUUUU
rnacentral:snRNA from 1 species